GAUGAACGCUGGCGGCGUGCCUAAUACAUGCAAGUCGAGCGAACGGACGAGAAGCUUGCUUCUCUGAUGUUAGCGGCGGACGGGUGAGUAACACGUGGAUAACCUACCUAUAAGACUGGGAUAACUUCGGGAAACCGGAGCUAAUACCGGAUGAUAUUUUGAACCGCAUGGUUCAAAAGUGAAAGACGGUCUUGCUGUCACUUAUAGAUGGAUCCGCGCUGCAUUAGCUAGUUGGUAAGGUAACGGCUUACCAAGGCAACGAUGCAUAGCCGACCUGAGAGGGUGAUCGGCCACACUGGAACUGAGACACGGUCCAGACUCCUACGGGAGGCAGCAGUAGGGAACCUUCCGCAAUGGGCGAAAGCCUGACGGAGCAACGCCGCGUGAGUGAUGAAGGUCUUCGGAUCGUAAAACUCUGUUAUUAGGGAAGAACAUAUGUGUAAGUAACUGUGCACAUCUUGACGGUACCUAAUCAGAAAGCCACGGCUAACUACGUGCCAGCAGCCGCGGUAAUACGUAGGUGGCAAGCGUUAUCCGGAAUUAUUGGGCGUAAAGCGCGCGUAGGCGGUUUUUUAGUCUGAUGUGAAAGCCCACGGCUCAACCGUGGAGGGUCAUUGGAAACUGGAAAACUUGAGUGCAGAAGAGGAAAGUGGAAUUCCAUGUGUAGCGGUGAAAUGCGCAGAGAUAUGGAGGAACACCAGUGGCGAAGGCGACUUUCUGGUCUGUAACUGACGCUGAUGUGCGAAAGCGUGGGGAUCAAACAGGAUUAGAUACCCUGGUAGUCCACGCCGUAAACGAUGAGUGCUAAGUGUUAGGGGGUUUCCGCCCCUUAGUGCUGCAGCUAACGCAUUAAGCACUCCGCCUGGGGAGUACGACCGCAAGGUUGAAACUCAAAGGAAUUGACGGGGACCCGCACAAGCGGUGGAGCAUGUGGUUUAAUUCGAAGCAACGCGAAGAACCUUACCAAAUCUUGACAUCCUUUGACAACUCUAGAGAUAGAGCCUUCCCCUUCGGGGGACAAAGUGACAGGUGGUGCAUGGUUGUCGUCAGCUCGUGUCGUGAGAUGUUGGGUUAAGUCCCGCAACGAGCGCAACCCUUAAGCUUAGUUGCCAUCAUUAAGUUGGGCACUCUAAGUUGACUGCCGGUGACAAACCGGAGGAGGGUGGGGAUGACGUCAAAUCAUCAUGCCCCUUAUGAUUUGGGCUACACACGUGCUACAAUGGACAAUACAAAGGGCAGCGAAACCGCGAGGUCAAGCAAAUCCCAUAAAGUUGUUCUCAGUUCGGAUUGUAGUCUGCAACUCGGCUACAUGAAGCUGGAAUCGCUAGUAAUCGUAGAUCAGCAUGCUACGGUGAAUACGUUCCCGGGUCU
rnacentral:rRNA from 1 species